GAGAAAAUGUGUAAAGUGUCUCUACAUGUCAACAUACAUAUUGCCCUUCACUUAUAAAUCAGAGAGGACUUGAUUCCAUAAAACAGGGUUUUUUUCCCUGUCAAGUGACAUCCUUGAGAUUUUGCUUUCUAUAAAAAUUCUACUUUAUAAAAGAACAUAUUAGAGGAGGUCGGUUCUUUGGGAACACAUCUAGUGUCCACAGAAGUGGGAAAGGGCCUGACGCUGGGGACUCCCUUCACAUCAAGGAGAAUUGCUCUGGAAUGCUGUGGCCCAUUUCACCACCCAAGGUAGAGAUAAAAAAACGAAAGAUGCAAGCAGCACCUCACCGUCCUGGAAUCAUGGAGGAUAACAUGGAAAAAAAGAAUGAAAAUAGAAGAUUCCAGCAAGUAGAUUCUUCUGAAAUGUUCUUCCAACAUUUUGAGAUGGACAUAUCCCAAAAGUUGAUAAUUAUGAGGAUUUUAGUACAUCAUUCACACAAAAUAAAGAAUCCACUCUUCUAUUCUAGACUUCAAGGCAGAAUUCUGCUGUUAACACAGAAGUGGCCUUGCAUUCUAAGUAGGAUGGUCUCCAACUUGCUGUAGAAUUGUGGACUUAGAUGAAUGAAUAGAAAGAAAACAGAAAUUUCUUAUAAAUUGGUUUUUAUAUUUACCACCCCAUUGUAAAACUAUUACUAAAGGCCAUUAACCUCGAAAAUAUUUCAAAGCUUGCCGAAAAGGCAGACGUAUGCUAAGAUAAAGGAGAGUCUCUUCUGUAUGCGGCAUCUCUUAGUUAUCGUGUUCGCAAGUCAAAAGUUUCUUGUAGCUGCCGAAUUAGAUUCAAUAUUUUUUUAAAGGAUUACUGUAAAAAGUCAAAGAGCAUUAAGAGGCUCUUAAAAAGAAAUACCCUGCUAUGUAAUGAAACAAAAUGCCAUCUAGGAUGUUAGACGCUUCUCUUUUGUUACACCCUCUUAUUCCUUCAGCAAUGAAACUGUCAAGGGUCAUUGUCCUGCUAAGACGCCAUUGGAAGCCACUCUUGCCUUGCAGGCCUCUUCAAGACAAAGCUCGCUUUAGCACCGACCAAAAAGAGGGCAAGAAGGAAAAGAAAAACAGCUGAAAAUAUGUAGUCACACAAUAAACGACUUGUGACUUCAUCA
rnacentral:lncRNA from 1 species